rnacentral:rRNA from 1 species
CAGCCGCCGCGGGAAUACGUAGGUGGCAAGCGUUGUCCGGAAUUAUUGGGCGUAAAGGGCUCGCAGGCGGUUUCUUAAGUCUGAUGUGAGAGCCCCCGGCUCAACCGGGGAGGGUCAUUGGAAACUGGGAAACUUGAGUGCAGAAGAGGAGAGUGGAAUUCCACGUGUAGCGGUGAAAUGCGUAGAGAUGUGGAGGAACACCAGUGGCGAAGGCGACUCUCUGGUCUGUAACUGACGCUGAGGAGCGAAAGCGUGGGGAGCGAACAGGAUUAGAUACCCGGGUAGUCCCUGUCUCUUAUAC